rnacentral:lncRNA from 1 species
UGAUGCAUGUGAACCAAUAGGAUUACGAAGACGUAAGUGUUGGACGAAUGGAGAGGAGACACGUGUUGAAUACUUUAUUGACUUUUAUGAAAUGUUGCCACCGCAAGUUGCGGGGUAGAUUGGGGAUGAUGUUUUGUUUUUGAAAGCAAAAGUGAUUUUAAUUACUUUGUUUUUUUUUUGUUUUUUUGAAAAAGAAACUUAUAAUUAAAUAAAAGUGGUGAAUAAUUUGUGAGUUGUGUGACAAGUGAAUCGUAGCUAUUACGCCAUUAUGAGAUAACUUUGUUUUUUUUAAUGCGAUUUUUUACCUUAAAAUAUUGUCAAGUUCAAAG